CCCUGGGGUGUUAAGCCGGGUGGAAAAAUGGCCGGCAAGAUUAUUCCAGGGAGGGAAACACCCGGAUUGGACGAAAGGGCAGGGUUUUCUGGGGCUUGUUAACUGAACGCUGCGGAAGCGAAAGCAUGGGGGAAGCGAACAGGAAUUAGAUUCCCCUGGUAGUCCAUGCGGUAAACGUUGGGCACUAGGUGUGGGGGGCAUUCCACGUCCUCCGCGCCGUAGCUAACGCAUUAAGUGCCCCGCCUGGGGAGUACGGCCGCAAGGCUAAAACUCAAAGGAAUUGACGGGGGCCCGCACAAGCGGCGGAGCAUGCGGAUUAAUUCGAUGCAACGCGAAGAACCUUACCAAGGCUUGACAUCCACCGGACCGCCCCAGAGAUGGGGUUUCCCUUCGGGGCCGGUGGACAGGUGGUGCAUGGUUGUCGUCAGCUCGUGUCGUGAGAUGUUGGGUUAAGUCCCGCAACGAGCGCAACCCUCGUUCGAUGUUGCCAGCACGUAGUGGUGGGGACUCAUCGGAGACUGCCGGGGUCAACUCGGAGGAAGGUGGGGAUGACGUCAAAUCAUCAUGCCCCUUAUGUCUUGGGCUUCACGCAUGCUACAAUGGCCGGUACAAAGGGUUGCGAUACUGUGAGGUGGAGCUAAUCCCAAAAAGCCGGUCUCAGUUCGGAUUGAGGUCUGCAACUCGACCUCAUGAAGUCGGAGUCGCUAGUAAUCGCAGAUCAGCAACGCUGCGGUGAAUACGUUCCCGGGCCUUGUACACACCGCCCGUCAAGUCACGAAAGUUGGUAACACCCGAAGCCGGUGGCCUAACCCGUAAGGGGGGGAGCCGUCGAA
rnacentral:rRNA from 1 species